rnacentral:lncRNA from 1 species
CCACAUAAUUUUCAAACAGUGAAAAUCUAUCCCCCAAAAUACUCCUUUCUCCCCACUCCCGCGCCCCACACUCCACCGUCUACGCAGCCCGCCCUCCCCCGCCUCCUUCCAUCCAAGCUCCGGGUCUUUAGAACCCCGUUCCCUCUGCCUUCCGCCUGCAGGAAGAUCUCUGUAGAACGGACGUCCAGUAUUCCUGAAGAGGAAAUACGACAUCCACGGAAGCCUCUGCCACAUCCAAAGAAGGAAUUAAUCCAUCAGUACUCAUUGAGUGUCUACUAUAGUCACAGCACUCUGCUCCUGGUUGAAAAUAUACAAGAGAAAGGUAAGACAAAGCCCUUUGUCUCAUGGAAUUUAUAGCACAGGUGAGGAGCCUGGGGUUGUAAACGCACAGUUAGAGUGGGGAGUGGGAAUGCUCUCGGUGUUUGAAGGAGGAAACCAUUCAUAUUAAAAGCUCCUCUUACUGCCCUCCAGCCUGAAAUGCCUCCCUUUUGCUGUGGUUCACAUACGUGUGGGGAACGGGGGUCACAAGGAAGUUGGGGAUCAGGCAAGAGGAUGGGAGUGAAUCAGCUUAUGACCGUGACGAUCUCUGAGAAAGUGGCCCCAAAGCACACUGGCCACCCGCUAACAGGAGGAGAAUUUUCCUAGGUGCUCACCCACCUGAUUCAGCAUCCGCUAGGGCUGGUGGUG